CAGUGAUGAUGGUGGUGGUGGUGGUCGUGACGAUGAUGAUGAUGAUGAUGGUGAUGGUGGUGAUGAUGGUGGUGAUGAUGGUGGUGGUGGUGAUGGUGGUGGCAGUGAUGAUGGUGGUGGUGGUGAUGGUGGUGGUGGUGAUGGUCGUGAUAGUGGUGGUGAUGGUGGUGGUGGUGAUGGUGUUGAUGAUGGUGGUGGUGGUGAUGGUGGUGAUGAUUGUGGUGGUGAUUGUGGUGAUGGUCGUGAGGAUGAUGAUGGUGAUGGUGGUGAUGAUGGUGAUGGUGGUGGCGGUGAUGAUGGUGGUGGUGGUGAUGGUGGUGGUGGUGAUGGUGAUGGUGGCGGUGGUGAUGGUGUUGAUGGUGAUGGUGGCGGUGGUGAUGGUGUUGAUGGUGAUGGUUGUGAUGGUGAUGGUGAUAGUGGUAAUGGUGAUGGUGGUGAUGGUGAUGGCAGUGAAGAUGGUGGUGAUGGUGAUGGUGAUGGUGAUGGUGGUGAUUGUGAUUGUGAUGGCAGUGGUGAUGGUGUUGAUGGUGAUGGCUGUGAUGGUGAUAGUGGUGAUGGUGAUGGCAGUGAUGAUGGUGGUGAUGGUGGUGGUGGUGAUGGUGAUGGUGGUGAUGGUGAUGAUGGUGGUGAUGGUGAUGGUGAUGGUGAUGGUGGUGAUGGUGGUGGUAUUGGUG
ensembl:lncRNA